UACAGAGGGUGCAAGCGUUAAUCGGAUUUACUGGGCGUAAAGCGUGUGUAGGUGGUUGUUCAAGUCGGUUGUGAAAUCCCUGGGCUUAACCUGGGAACUGCUUCCGAGACUGAGCGACUAGAGUACGGUAGAGGGCGGUGGAAUUUCCGGUGUAGCGGUGAAAUGCGUAGAUAUCGGAAGGAACACCAAUGGCGAAGGCAGCCGCCUGGGCCUGUACUGACACUGAGACACGAAAGCGUGGGGAUCAAACAGG
rnacentral:rRNA from 1 species